GAUGAACGCUGGCGGCGUGCCUAAUACAUGCAAGUCGAGCGAACAGACGAGAGUGCUUGCACUCUCUGACGUUAGCGGCGGACGGGUGAGUAACACGUGGGUAACCUACCUAUAAGACUGGGAUAACUUCGGGAAACCGGAGCUAAUACCGGAUAAUAUUUAGCUUCGCAUGAAGCAAUAGUGAAAGACGGUUCUGCUGUCACUUAUAGAUGGACCCGCGGUGUAUUAGCUGGUUGGUGAGGUAACGGCUCACCAAGGCAACGAUACAUAGCCGACCUGAGAGGGUGAUCGGCCACACUGGGACUGAGACACGGCCCAGACUCCUACGGGAGGCAGCAGUAGGGAAUCUUCCGCAAUGGACGAAAGUCUGACGGAGCAAUGCCGCGUGAGUGAAGAAGGUUUUCGGAUCGUAAAACUCUGUUGUAAGGGAAGAACAAGUACGUUAGUAACUGAACGUACCUUGACGGUACCUUACCAGAAAGCCACGGCUAACUACGU
rnacentral:rRNA from 1 species